rnacentral:rRNA from 1 species
UACGUAGGGCGCAAGCGUUGUCCGGAAUUACUGGGCGUAAAGGGCUCGUAGGCGGCCAACUAAGUCGGAUGUGAAAUCCCCAAGCUUAACUUGGGAACUGCAUCCGAUACUGGAUGGCUUGAAUCCGGGAGAGGGAUGCAGAAUUCCAGGUGUAGCGGUGAAAUGCGUAGAUAUCUGGAGGAAUACCGGUGGCGAAGGCGGCAUCCUGGACCGGCAUUGACGCUGAGGAGCGAAAGCUAGGGGAGCAAACGGG